ensembl:ncRNA K03H9.12 ncRNA
AAUAAGCACACGCGAUUAGUCUGAAUAGCAGUUGGUUCUUUGAAUCUUCUUUCCGAUUGUCUUCACUUGCUCUUCUUCUCAAAAAAAAAACCGGCGUUUGUAUAUUUGCUCUAAGACGGUGGCCUCUGCCUC